rnacentral:tRNA from 1 species
AGCCCGGUGGUGUAGGGGUCAAGCAUAACAGACUCUGGAUCUGUUGACGGGGGUUCGAAUCCUCCCCGGGCUA